rnacentral:rRNA from 1 species
GACUCUCGGCAACGGAUAUCUCGGCUCUCGCAUCGAUGAAGAACGUAGCGAAAUGCGAUACUUGGUGUGAAUUGCAGAAUCCCGUGAACCAUCCGAGUCUUUCGCGCGUUGCGCCCGAGGCCUCCUGGUCGAGGGCACGUCUGCCUGGGUGUCA